UAUUAUAGUCUGUCCCACGACCGGAACGUCACUACUUUUUGCAAAAUAUCUCAAAAUAAAUAAAUACCUUGGACUUCAACCUAUAUCCGAUUGGUAGAUUGAUUUUUUUCCAAACUUCCUGCAUUUAUCCGAACCCUCGAGGUCAACCAGUGUAUACACACGGCGGCAAAUUCAAAGUCUACGGGGAUUUAACAUGGUAAACUCGUCCAUUAACGUCUAGGUUACGGGGCCGGGAACCAGUUUUUGAAGGGAGUAGUCGGCCUUGGCAAAAUAAAUUUCCGAAAAAUAUUUAAAAAUUAAAGGAAUUAAUUUAAAUUGCUUUCAUUGAUAAUACAACUUUCACUUUGAAUUAAAAUUAAUUUUAACAGCAAUUAACAAGUUUAAUUAUUAACUUCGAGAAAAUAGUCCGAAUCUAACGAAGUACAACUUGUGGAGAAUGGAUGUUGACAUGAUGAUGCAAGCUCGCCAGUGUUUAAAACCAAUAUGAAGCUUGAUUUAGACACUGCAAUAUAAGGAGAGAGGCAGACCAAAAACCUUUGGCUAAAGCAAAGAUAAUAUGCAUAACAUAAGUAGUUACAUAAUUCACAAGAGUGCAAAGUUAUGAUGACCAUGCAGAGACAAGAUACCAUAACAAAGACAUGCAUGAAGAAGGAUGUUCACUCAAUUUUUCAGAAUAAUGUGUCAGAUUGAAAGUCAUCUUAUGUUGGACAAAACAAUCAGGACGUUCAUCUGGAUCACAGCUAGCACAAAUUAAAGUAUUGACAAAGAUUACCUGGUAGUCUGCAAAUGGAGUGAUCAUUGGAUGAGCCAGACAACACUAUUUUCCUCAGAAAUUUUAGGAUAGAGACUAGUCACUUGAUCUCCAUCUUCAUUCAUAGAUGACUGAUGUCGACAUUUUCUCACUUCUGUUUCAUGUCUUUACUACAAGUCAUGGACUCCACACUCCAGCAUCAGUGGGCGCUUGACUUUUAUAAACAUUUAUUCCUCUGAAAUUCAUAUAAUAUCCUUUAAUAUAGGACAUAUAUAACAAAUUAUUUAUUUUGUUAAAUAUUUUUAAAUUUUACUUAAUUAAUAAAACAAUGAAAACAGCUA